AAGCACAGGAACAGAUCUGGACAGGCACAUGCCUAGAACCCCGACCAGGUGUAUUCGGUUUGCUACCCAAGAUCCAUAAACCUGGAAAUCCUGGACGCCCCAUCAUCUCAAGCAUUGGCACCUUAACAGCAGGA